AACGAACGCUGGCGGCAGGCUUAACACAUGCAAGUCGAACGCGUGUAGCAAUACACGAGUGGCGCACGGGUGAGUAACGCGUGGAUAUCUGCCUUUUGGUUCGGAAUAACUCCGGGAAACUGGAGCUAAUACCGGAUGGUUCCUUCGGGAUAAAGAUUUAUCGCCAAAAGAUGAGUCCGCGUACGAUUAGCUAGUUGGUGAGGUAAUGGCUCACCAAGGCGACGAUCGUUAGCUGGUCUGAGAGGACGAUCAGCCACACUGGGACUGAGACACGGCCCAGACUCCUACGGGAGGCAGCAGUGGGGAAUAUCGGACAAUGGGGGCAACCCUGAUCCAGCCAUGCCGCGUGAGUGAUGAAGGCCUUCGGGUUGUAAAGCUCUUUUGGCGGGGACGAUGAUGACGGUACCCGCAGAAUAAGCCCCGGCUAACUCCGUGCCAGCCGCCGCGGUAACAC
rnacentral:rRNA from 1 species